rnacentral:rRNA from 1 species
AUUGAACGCUGGCGGCAUGCCUUACACAUGCAAGUCGAACGGCAGCACGGGAGCAAUCCUGGUGGCGAGUGGCGAACGGGUGAGUAAUAUAUCGGAACGUGCCCAGUCGUGGGGAUAACGUAGCGAAAGCUACGCUAAUACCGCAUACGAUCUAUGGAUGAAAGCGGGGGAUCGCAAGACCUCGCGCGAUUGGAGCGGCCGAUAUCAGAUUAGGUAGUUGGUGAGGUAAAGGCUCACCAAGCCGACGAUCUGUAGCUGGUCUGAGAGGACGACCAGCCACACUGGGACUGAGACACGGCCCGAGACUCCUACGGGAGGCAGCAGUGGGGAAUUUUUGGACAAUGGGCGCAAGCCUGAUCCAGCAAUGCCGCGUGCAGGAUGAAGG